rnacentral:tRNA from 1 species
GGUGAAAUGGCUGAAUUAGGCAAUAAAUUGUAAAUUUAUUUAUGAAUUAAUAUUCUUUUACCAAUCAUUAGAA